rnacentral:rRNA from 1 species
AAGGCCUACGGGACGCAGCAGUGGGGAAUAUUGCGCAAUGGGCGAAAGCCUGACGCAGCGACGCCGCGUGAGGGAUGAAGGUCUUCGGAUCGUAAACCUCUGUCAGCAGGGAAGAACGGUCACUGUGCUAAUCAGCAGUGAAUUGACGGUACCUGCAAAGGAAGCACCGGCUAACUCCGUGCCGGCAGCCGCGGUAAUACGGAGGGUGCGAGCGUUAAUCGGAAUUACUGGGCGUAAAGCGCUCGUAGGCGGUAUGUCAAGUCAAGGGGGAAAUCCCCGCGCUCAACGGGGGAACUGCCUUUGAG